GGUUAAGCGACUAAGCGUACACGGUGGAUGCCCUGGCAGUCAGAGGCGAUGAAGGACGUGCUAAUCUGCGAAAAGCGCCGGCGAGGUGAUAUGAACCCUUGACCCGGCGAUGUCCGAAUGGGGAAACCCAGUGUGAUUCGUCACACUAUCGUUAACUGAAUACAUAGGUUAACGAGGCGAACCGGGGGAACUGAAACAUCUAAGUACCCCGAGGAAAAGAAAUCAACCGAGAUUCCCCCAGUAGCGGCGAGCGAACGGGGAGCAGCCCAGAGUCUGAAUCAGCUUGUGUGUUAGUGGAAGCGUCUGGAAAGUCGCACGGUACAGGGUGAAAGUCCCGUACACGAAAAUGCACAGGCUGUGAACUCGAAGAGUAGGGCGGGACACGUGGUAUCCUGUCUGAAUAUGGGGGGACCAUCCUCCAAGGCUAAAUACUCCUGACUGACCGAUAGUGAACCAGUACCGUGAGGGAAAGGCGAAAAGAACCCCGGCGAGGGGAGUGAAAAAGAACCUGAAACCGUGUACGUACAAGCAGUGGGAGCACCUUCGGGUGUGACUGCGUACCUUUUGUAUAAUGGGUCAGCGACUUAUAUUCUGUAGCAAGGUUAACCGUAUAGGGGAGCCGAAGGGAAACCGAGUCUUAACUGGGCGUUAAGUUGCAGGGUAUAGACCCGAAACCCGGUGAUCUAGCCAUGGGCAGGUUGAAGGUUGGGUAACACUAACUGGAGGACCGAACCGACUAAUGUUGAAAAAUUAGCGGAUGACCUGUGGCUGGGGGUGAAAGGCCAAUCAAACCGGGAGAUAGCUGGUUCUCCCCGAAAGCUAUUUAGGUAGCGCCUCGUGAACUCAUCUUCGGGGGUAGAGCACUGUUUCGGCUAGGGGGCCAUCCCGGCUUACCAACCCGAUGCAAACUACGAAUACCGAAGAAUGUUAUCACGGGAGACACACGGCGGGUGCUAACGUCCGUCGUGAAGAGGGAAACAACCCAGACCGCCAGCUAAGGUCCCAAAGUCAUGGUUAAGUGGGAAACGAUGUGGGAAGGCCCAGACAGCCAGGAUGUUGGCUUAGAAGCAGCCAUCAUUUAAAGAAAGCGUAAUAGCUCACUGGUCGAGUCGGCCUGCGCGGAAGAUGUAACGGGGCUAAACCAUGCACCGAAGCUGCGGCAGCGACACUCUGUGUUGUUGGGUAGGGGAGCGUUCUGUAAGCCGUUGAAGGUGGCCUGUGAGGGUUGCUGGAGGUAUCAGAAGUGCGAAUGCUGACAUAAGUAACGAUAAAGCGGGUGAAAAGCCCGCUCGCCGGAAGACCAAGGGUUCCUGUCCAACGUUAAUCGGGGCAGGGUGAGUCGACCCCUAAGGCGAGGCCGAAAGGCGUAGUCGAUGGGAAACAGGUUAAUAUUCCUGUACUUGGUGUUACUGCGAAGGGGGGACGGAGAAGGCUAUGUUAGCCGGGCGACGGUUGUCCCGGUUUAAGCAUGUAGGCGGAGGUUCCAGGUAAAUCCGGUACCUUUUAACGCUGAGGUGUGAUGACGAGGCACUACGGUGCUGAAGUAACAAAUGCCCUGCUUCCAGGAAAAGCCUCUAAGCAUCAGGUAACAUCAAAUCGUACCCCAAACCGACACAGGUGGUCAGGUAGAGAAUACCAAGGCGCUUGAGAGAACUCGGGUGAAGGAACUAGGCAAAAUGGUGCCGUAACUUCGGGAGAAGGCACGCUGAUAUGUAGGUGAAGCCCCUGCGGGUGGAGCUGAAAUCAGUCGAAGAUACCAGCUGGCUGCAACUGUUUAUUAAAAACACAGCACUGUGCAAACACGAAAGUGGACGUAUACGGUGUGACGCCUGCCCGGUGCCGGAAGGUUAAUUGAUGGGGUUAGCGGUAACGCGAAGCUCUUGAUCGAAGCCCCGGUAAACGGCGGCCGUAACUAUAACGGUCCUAAGGUAGCGAAAUUCCUUGUCGGGUAAGUUCCGACCUGCACGAAUGGCGUAAUGAUGGCCAGGCUGUCUCCACCCGAGACUCAGUGAAAUUGAACUCGCUGUGAAGAUGCAGUGUACCCGCGGCAAGACGGAAAGACCCCGUGAACCUUUACUAUAGCUUGACACUGAACACUGGUCCUUGAUGUGUAGGAUAGGUGGGAGGCUUUGAAGCGUGGACGCCAGUCUGCGUGGAGCCAUCCUUGAAAUACCACCCUUUAAUGGCUGGUGUUCUAACGUAGACCCGUAAUCCGGGUUGCGGACAGUGUCUGGUGGGUAGUUUGACUGGGGCGGUCUCCUCCCAAAGAGUAACGGAGGAGCACGAAGGUUAGCUAAUCCUGGUCGGACAUCAGGAGGUUAGUGCAAUGGCAUAAGCUAGCUUGACUGCGAGAGUGACGGCUCGAGCAGGUGCGAAAGCAGGUCAUAGUGAUCCGGUGGUUCUGAAUGGAAGGGCCAUCGCUCAACGGAUAAAAGGUACUCCGGGGAUAACAGGCUGAUACCGCCCAAGAGUUCAUAUCGACGGCGGUGUUUGGCACCUCGAUGUCGGCUCAUCACAUCCUGGGGCUGAAGUAGGUCCCAAGGGUAUGGCUGUUCGCCAUUUAAAGUGGUACGCGAGCUGGGUUUAGAACGUCGUGAGACAGUUCGGUCCCUAUCUGCCGUGGGCGCUGGAGAAUUGAGGGGGGCUGCUCCUAGUACGAGAGGACCGGAGUGGACGCAUCACUGGUGUUCGGGUUGUCAUGCCAAUGGCACUGCCCGGUAGCUAAAUGCGGAAGAGAUAAGUGCUGAAAGCAUCUAAGCACGAAACUUGCCCCGAGAUGAGUUCUCCCUGACUCCUUGAGAGUCCUGAAGGAACGUUGAAGACGACGACGUUGAUAGGUCGGGUGUGUAAGCGCAGCGAUGCGUUGAGCUAACCGAUACUAAUGAACCGUGAGGCUUAACCUU
rnacentral:rRNA from 1 species